GCUGCUGCUGCAUCCGGUGUUUCUGUACUUCUGCAUACAAGCUGUCUCUCUGCUUUUUUGACAUUCGGCCAAAUUUUACAGCUGGACUCACCAUCUCGAGACAUCCCUACGGCAAGGCAUUUCUGUAAUCGACAGUGUUGGCAGCGGUUUCUACUGGUUCGAUCAAUCAAACAGUUCUUCUGACGAGGACAGGAGUAGGUGGCAUUGCUUUGCUGACUUCUCCUGAAAAAGCCCUGUGAUAAUCUUGCAUGGAAUAAUUUCAAUUUGAGCUGCAACAGAAGCACGCAACCAGUUAAUUACAUUUUCUUUUAAACACCUUAUAAAAGCGUUCCCUGAUCAGCAUUUGUAUAGUGAAAACUAAUAACCUGCUAAACAUUAUACUGCAUUAACUAUUCAUUGCUGAACUGUGAGGGUCCCCCUAGAGCCCUGGACUAAAUUAUGGCUGCUCGUUAUAUAAUAGCUUUCGGGUUAUUAAAAUGGGUCAUUUGAGAAGGUGUUUAAGAACCCACAAGAAGACUGGAAUCAGCAUUUCAAAGCCUUCAAGAACUGGAGAGUUCGCAGUUUAGGCCUCAGAGCAAAGCAGAU
rnacentral:lncRNA from 10 species